rnacentral:pre_miRNA from 1 species
AAAACAUUCAUAUCGUCUGUCCACCGAGCAAAGACGCCCAGCUCGGCAGAAGAUAUUAUCUUUGUCAU